rnacentral:rRNA from 1 species
CUUAAAUGUAGAGUGUCAUUUUUAGAGAUAGAAGUUCCCUUCGGGGCUUUCUGCAAGGUGCUGCAUGGUUGUCGUCAGCUCGUGCCGUGAGGUGUCGGGUUAAGUCCCAUAACGAGCGCAACCCUUAUCGUUAGUUGCCAUCUGGUAAUGCAGGGGACUCUAGCGAAACUGCCACCGUAAGGUGAGAGGAAGUGGGGAUGACGUCAAAUCAGCACGGCCCUUAUGUCCAGGGCUACACACGUGUUACAAUGGUCGGUACAGAGGGCAGCUACCUGGUGACAGGAUGCUAAUCUCGAAAACCGGUCUCAGUUCGGAUCGAAGUCUGCAACUCGACUUCGUGAAGCUGGAUUCGCUAGUAAUCGCGCAUCAGCUAUGGCGCGGUGAGUACGUUCCCGGGCCUU